UACGGAGGGUGCAAGCAUUAAUCGGAUUUAUUGGGCGUAAAGGGCGCGUAGGCGGAUAAGUAAGUCAGGUGUGAAAUUCCGAAGCUCAACUUCGGAGCUGCAUUUGAAACUACGGAUCUAAGAGGAAUGGCGGAGAAAAUGGAAUUCCACGUGUAGCGGUGAAAUGCGUAGAUAUGUGGAAGAACACCGGUGGCGAAAGCGAUUUUCUAGCUAUUACCUGACGCUGAGGCGCGAGAGCAAGGGGAGCAAACAGG
rnacentral:rRNA from 1 species